ACUCAUCUCAUAAAGGAUGGGGUGUGGCUUUGAUCUUUAGCCUGUCUCACAAUUCAGUGAACACUAGACCCUGGACUGAAAGAGUAGACAAAUGACAACCACCCUUCCCUUGGUUAGAAUCUGUCUCACAGGGGAAGUUUGAGGGAGGGGGACAGAAUGGGGAUGGUCAUUUUCAAAAGUGUGGGGAAUGAUGUUUAAACACAAAUAAAUUUUUUUCUUUCCAGAAACACUAUUUAUUUAUUUUUAUUUUUUCCCUCCUUUUUUUUUUUUUUUGCGGGGGGUGGGGUGGUAGUGGUGAAAUUGGCAGAUGCCCCAACAUCAUGGCUGUAUCCUGGAUCACUGUGGCCCCACCAAGUAUGUAGAGUAGCCCCACAGCAGUAGGUGUACCCAAGGAAUGGCUUAUCUCUGGCGCCCUCUUUCCUUGGCACAUUCCAUGUAGUUGGUACCCUUGUGGGGACCCACAGCAUCCAUGGAAACCAUGGAGGCCCAGGCCUCUGCUGCUGAAACAAGCAGAGUCUAGGAGAGAACUGUGGCGUGAGCCAUGUGGGUGCACUAAGCUGACCAGAGCCAGCCACUUUAACACUUCUCUAUUGCUUUUAUUUUUUAGAGUGGAAAGGGGACUUGUCAGAUAUGUUGCCCAUGCUAUGUGAUUCUUUAUGUUGUAUUGUUUUGAUUUGUAAAUUGUAUAAUUUUUAAAUAUGAGUUUUAAAAAAAGAAAAAAGUACAAAAAAAAUCUUGUUAAGGCCUUAAGAAGGGAUAUGUGCAUCUUUCAGGGGUCACUCUGCCGUGGGGAUAAAAUAGCUGUUUUACAAACAGUUUUAUUUAAAAAAACAAAAAUCAAAAAAAUUAAAAAAAAAACAAAACCGUAAUAAACUUCAUUUUAACCUUG
rnacentral:lncRNA from 1 species